CCUACGGGUGGCAGCAGUUAUUAAUAUUUUUCCCUUUCCUCCCUUCUUCCCCCUCCCUUCCUCGUUCCGGAAGACGGCCCUAUGAGUUGUAAACUGCUUUUGUACGAGGGUAAACGCAGAUACGCGUAUCUGUCUGAAAGUAUCGUACGAAUAAGGAUCGGCUAACUCCGUGCCAGCAGCCGCGGUAAUACGGAGGAUUCAAGCGUUAUCCGGAUUUAUUGGGUUUAAAGGGUGCGUAGGCGGUCGGAUAAGUUAGAGGUGAAAUCCCGAGGCUCAACUUCGGAAUUGCCUCUGAUACUGUUCGGCUAGAGAGUAGUUGAGGUAGGCGGAAUGUAUGGUGUAGCGGUGAAAUGCUUAGAGAUCAUACAGAACACCGAUUGCGAAGGCAGCUUACCAAGCUACUUCUGACGUUGAGGCGCGAAAGCGUGGGGAGCAAACAGGAUUAGAUACCCGAGUAGUC
rnacentral:rRNA from 1 species